rnacentral:pre_miRNA from 1 species
AAGGGGAGCACCGGAUCCUGGGCCGUGUCCCCUGGCGCCCUGGGCUUCAGGACCCGCGCCGCUGGGAUCGCUCCGGGGCCGCACAGCCCCCU